UAGGCAAUUGAGAAGACCAUAGCAUAGAGAGCAUAGAAAAGCCUCUCUCUCAUCCACUUUGAGCUCAAUAAACAGUAGCUGGGCAUCAAUCGGUGCAUCUUUUGCUUCCAAAGUCUUCGUCUUUGCCCAUUUUGCACUUAUCUUCUGCAUACGACUUUCCACUGGUUCUAUUCCUGAUGACACUUCUCUGAAUGAAGGAAGAAGUCAGUGAGAAAGGGCCUUCGCAUCUCGUUCAAAAGCGACAGGCUGACUGAAUGUGGAGUGAGAGUGCAUCUUUGAAAGGAGCGAGAUUGAUUGAUAAAGGUAGGUCACCGUCAAAGGAUAGCUUGUCCAGGUCAAAGGCAAAUGGUUUCCUAGGAAGGAGAAGGUGGUUGGUCGACUAAAGGUUAGAGUUAGAGGACCAGUAGCGUAGCGGAGAUGCGGACCAAGUCGAAGCGCAGCGCAUAAGCACAUAUUCAUUUUUUUUUCUCUCUUUGUUGCGAGAGAGCUAAUCAAACGGGAAGGCACUCAACCAUAUGUUGUGAGGAAGGACGAGUGACGAAGGAAGAAGUGCCCUGAGCAAGGCUAAAUUCAAAGUAUGAUCUUUAGUUGGUUGAGGGGUUCAGGGACCAGAGCAAGCAAGAAAUCCUCCAUUUCUGUACAAAAUAAGACUGGUAAGCUGAAUGGCA
rnacentral:lncRNA from 1 species